rnacentral:tRNA from 1 species
GAGGUUAUAGCUCAGUGGUAGAGCACAUGCUUAGCAUGCAUGAGGUCCUGGGUUCAAUCCCCAGCGCCUCU